CAGCCGCCGCGGUAAAACGAAGGGUGCAAGCGUUACUCGGAAUUACUGGGCGUAAAGCGUGCGUAGGUGGUGGUUUAAGUCCGUUGUGAAAGCCCUGGGCUCAACCUGGGAAUUGCAGUGGAUACUGGAUCACUAGAGUGUGGUAGAGGAUAGUGGAAUUUCCGGUGUAGCAGUGAAAUGCGUAGAGAUGUGGAGGAACACCGAUGGCGAAGGCAGCCCCCUGGGCCAAUACUGACGCUCAUGCACGAAAGCGUGGGGAGCAAACAGGAUUAGAUACCCCGGUAGUCCCUGUCUCUUAUAC
rnacentral:rRNA from 1 species